GAAUCAAAAACAUUUAAUUUUCAGGAAACAAUGCCACAGUUAACUACCUAGUUUUCCAACGGUGGUAAAUUGCCAGUGUUUCAUUAUAAUGAGAUACCAGUUUCCAAGAACAAAUCUUAUUGACAGGAUAGGAAGUCCAUUGUCUGAGUGUCCUCAAUGAGGGCUAUAGGCUAGGGAUGUCGAAAGAUAGUCAACAUUU
rnacentral:snoRNA from 1 species